rnacentral:rRNA from 1 species
CACGUAGGGUGCGAGCGUUGUCCGGAAUUAUUGGGCGUAAAGAGCUCGUAGGCGGUGUGUCGCGUCGGCCGUGAAAACCUGCAGCUUAACUGUGGGCGUGCGGUCGAUACGGGCAUCACUGGAGUUCGGCAGGGGAGACUGGAAUUCCUGGUGUAGCGGUGAAAUGCGCAGAUAUCAGGAGGAACACCGGUGGCGAAGGCGGGUCUCUGGGCAGUAACUGACGCUGGAGGAGCGAAAGCGUGGGGAGCAAACAGG